CCAUAAGGUUUGUGAAUGCAGCCCAGAUUUCCAGCGAGGGCCACACUGAAGCGUAGCCGAGGACAUGCAUCCAGGUCAGCCCCCCAGAGAGAGGAGAAUUGUUUUUCAAAGGGUGCCUGAGCAAGAAUAACAGCAGCGGCAGGUACAAGGACAAACAUUCAGCCUCAUUCAGGAGAUAUGAGACACAUGACCUACAAUAAAGCAUCUGCAUAUAAAAGCAUAGACUCAAGAGAUUUCUCUGAGGCUUAAACAACAUUCAGUCUCACUACGUUUUGCAGUUUGAACUCAGUCUGCAGACUGUUUAAGGAAAAAGUCUCAAAUUGUGAGGUAAAGAUACAGGAACACAACUUUGUUGCAUGGCAACAGUGCAAGAUGCUUCCAGAUUGUUGUGUUCUGGAAUGCUUGGGGGCCCUUAAAGAGACAGCAGCGAAAAUUAAGCGUUUCGGAAAGAAGCUGAAAUUAGGGG